GAUGGCCUAGUUAUUAGAGCGUUCGUCUCGGAUUCGGGAAGUCACGGGUUCGAACCCCGGCCUAAUCA